GACGGACGCUGGCGGCGUGCUUAACACAUGCAAGUCGAGCGGUAAGGCCCUUUCGGGGGUACACGAGCGGCGAACGGGUGAGUAACACGUGGGUGACCUGCCCUCAGCUCUGGGAUAAGCCCGGGAAACUGGGUCUAAUACCGGAUAUGACUCCAUGACGCAUGUUGUGGGGUGGAAAGCCUUGUGCGGCUGAGGAUGGGCCCGCGGCCUAUCAGCUUGUUGGUGGGGUGANGGCCUACCAAGGCGACGACGGGUAGCCGGCCUGAGAGGGCGACCGGCCACACUGGGACUGAGACACGGCCCAGACUCCUACGGGAGGCAGCAGUGGGGAAUCUUGCGCAAUGGGCGAAAGCCUGACGCAGCGACGCCGCGUGAGGGAUGACGGCCU
rnacentral:rRNA from 1 species